GUGCCAGCCGCCGCGGUAAUACGGAGGGUGCAAGCGUUAUCCGGAUUUACUGGGUUUAAAGGGUGCGUAGGUGGGUCUGUAAGUCAGUGGUGAAAUCUCCGAGCUUAACUCGGAAACUGCCAUUGAUACUAUAGGUCUUGAAUUAUCUGGAGGUAAGCGGAAUAUGUCAUGUAGCGGUGAAAUGCUUAGAUAUGACAUAGAACACCAAUUGCGAAGGCAGCUUACUACGGAUCGAUUGACACUGAGGCACGAAAGCGUGGGGAUCAAACAGGAUUAGAAACCCUCGUAGUCC
rnacentral:rRNA from 1 species